AUACUCAGUGGAGCCGUCAGUAGGAGAUUCAUAAUGGCAUGGAAAAAUAGCAGGCAAAUGAGAUUCAAAGUGGACUAUACACCUACUAAUUCAGAAGAAACAUUUAAGUGUAGUUGUGAUAGUAUGAAACGUAAAGAUCUUCAAUGCAAGCAUGUUGUUUAUGUUUUAGCCAGGUUGAACGUGAAGGACUUACCUAAGUGCUUAGUGCCGCGAAGGUUCACUAAGAAUGCUAGAGGUGGACUGCCCGUGAAACGCACUAGCGAUCUCUUCGCAUGGGGAUGGACAUGUACUGAGGAGAGAACUAAGUACAGUGAGUUGACUAUUUUGUCUGUGGAAGCAAAUCAUACGGCAUGUCAUAGACCAUUCCUAUUUGAUAAACUG
rnacentral:rRNA from 1 species